rnacentral:rRNA from 1 species
UACGUAAGGUGCAAGCGUUAUCCGGAAUUAUUGGGCUUAAAGAGCUCGUAGGCGGUUUGUCGCGUCUGCUGUGAAAACCGGAGGCUCAACCUCCGGCCUGCAGUGGGUACGGGCAAACUAGAGUGCGGUAGGGGAGAUUGGAAUUCCUGGUGUAGCGGUGGAAUGCGCAGAUAUCAGGAGGAACACCGAUGGCGAAGGCAGAUCUCUGGGCCGUAACUGACGCUGAGGAGCGAAAGCGUGGGGAGCGAACAGG